rnacentral:rRNA from 1 species
GCGAUGAAGGACGUGCUAAUCUGCGAAAAGCGUCGGUAAGGUGAUAUGAACCGUUAUAACCGGCGAUGUCCGAAUGGGGAAACCCAGUGCAAUUCGUUGCACUAUCGUUAACUGAAUACAUAGGUUAACGAGGCGAACCGGGGGAACUGAAACAUCUAAGUACCCCGAGGAAAAGAAAUCAACCGAGAUUCCCCCAGUAGCGGCGAGCGAACGGGGAGCAGCCCAGAGUCUGAAUCAGCUUGUGUGUUAGUGGAACGGUCUGGAAAGUCCGACGGUACAGGGU